GCUCAAGUGGUUUAGUGGUAAAAUGUAAGUUAUGUGUAAAUCGAUGGGCCCCGCGUUCGAUUCGCGGCUUGAGCA
rnacentral:tRNA from 1 species